UACGUAGGGUGCAAGCGUUGUCCGGAAUUAUUGGGCGUAAAGGGCGCGUAGGCGGCCGGGUAAGUGAGAUGUGAAAGCUCUGGGCUCAACCCAGGAAUUGCAUUUCAUACUGCUCGGCUUGAGAUUGGUAGAGGAUGGCGGAAUUCCAGGUGUAGCGGUGAAAUGCUUAGAUAUGACAUAGAACACCAAUUGCGAAGGCAGCUGGCUACGCAUAUAUUGACACUGAGGCACGAAAGCGUGGGGAUCAAACAGG
rnacentral:rRNA from 1 species